UGUCUUGAACGCAAUAACAAAACAGAGGAUAUUUGAACAUAACUAUGGAUUAUUUUGAACCAAAACAACAUUUGUGGAUGAAGUAGAAGUCCUGGGAGUGCAUUCUGACGAAGAACAGCAAAGCUCCUCUGUCAGAAACAACUUGAAGCACAAUGCCUCAGAUGGAAAUGCCAAGGGGCGUUGCACUCCAGACUGGGACUCAUCAAAGCAAACAGCAGGGCCAGGAGGGGUGAAAUGGCUGGCAGCCUUCCAGCUACCACAGAACUCCUGUACUUCAUCCACUGUCGGUCUGCCUCCAUCACCACCAGCAUCUUCAAUGGGGAAUAGGACUUUGUCAGUGGACAAGGGGUCCUCAGAUUCAGGGUUCUCAAUGGCUGGGAGGCAGCUCCUCACUGUCACUGUCAAAAUCUGAUUCCUGAAAUUCCAGAGUUUCCGC
rnacentral:lncRNA from 1 species